AACGAACGCUGGCGGCAUGCCUAACACAUGCAAGUCGAACGAUACCUUCGGGUCUAGUUGCGCACGGGUGCGUAACGCGUGGGAAUCUACCCUCAGGUUCGGAAUAACUCAGAGAAAUUUGAGCUAAUACCGGAUGAUUACUUAAGUCCAAAGAUUUAUCGCCUGAGGAUGAGCCCGCGUAGGAUUAGGUAGUUGGUGAGGUAAAGGCUCACCAAGCCGACGAUCCUUAGCUGGUCUGAGAGGAUGAUCAGCCACACUGGGACUGAGACACGGCCCAGACUCCUACGGGAGGAAGAAGUGGGGAAUAUUGGACAAUGGGCGAAAGACUGAUCCAGCAAUGCCGCGUGAGUGAUGAAGGACUUAGGGUUGUAAAGCUCUUUUAAAAGGGAUGAUAAUGACAGUACCGGGAGAAUAAGCGCCGGCUAACUCCGUG
rnacentral:rRNA from 1 species